UUUCCGUAGGUGAACCUGCGGAAGGAUCAUUAUUGAAUGAAACACUUCUGGCUUUAUGCUGUUGUGCUGGCCCUUUGGGCAAUGUGCACACGGCUCUGGUCACUUGUUUCUUCUGUUCCACCUGUGCACUGCCGGUAGACACGCUGUGUCUAUGAUAUUUGUUAACACACAACAAUGUUAGUUGGCAUGUUAUAUAUAAUAAUAAAAUAUACAACUUUCAACAACGGAUCUCUUGGCUCUC
rnacentral:misc_RNA from 1 species